GACGAACGCUGGCGGCGUGCUUAACACAUGCAAGUCGAGCGGAAAGGCCACUUCGGUGGUACUCGAGCGGCGAACGGGUGAGUAACACGUGAGUAAUCUGCCCCUGGCUUUGGGAUAGCCACCGGAAACGGUGAUUAAUACCGGAUACGACCACUUCUCGCAUGGGAUGGUGGUGGAAAGUUUUUCGGCCAGGGAUGUGCUCGCGGCCUAUCAGCUUGAUGGUGAGGUAAUGGCUCACCAUGGCUUCGACGGGUAGCCGGCCUGAGAGGGUGACCGGUCGCACUGGGACUGAGACACGGCCCAGACUCCUACGGGAGGCAGCAGUGGGGAAUAUUGGACAAUGGGCGGAAGCCUGAUCCAGCAACGCCGCGUGAGGGAUGACGGCCUUCGGGUUGUGAACCUCUUUCAGUACCGACGAAGCGCAAGUGACGGUAGGUACAGAAGAAGCACCGGCCAACUACGUGCCAGCCGCCGCCGUAACAC
rnacentral:rRNA from 1 species